rnacentral:rRNA from 1 species
AUGGACAUGUCGGCCAGCUUCUCCGCCGAGGACUUCUUCCCCAACGCCGUCGGCCGCCUCCUCGACCGGCUCGCCGGCAUAGUCGCGCGCAGGGAGAGGAUCUUCAGAGACCUCGACAGCUUCUUCGAGGCAGUACUGGAGCAGCACCUGCACCCCGCAUGCCCCAAGCCGGAGAGCGGCGGCGGCGACCUGGUGGACGCCCUCAUCAGAAUCUGCGAGGAGCACGGCUUCACGAGGGACCACGUCAAGGCUGUCCUCCUGGACGCGUUCCUCGGCGGCGUCGAUACGAGCUCGGUGACGAUCCUGUGGGCGAUGUCGGAGCUGAUCCGGAAGCCGCAAGUUCUGAAGAAAGCGCAGGAGGAGAUCAGGGCCGUGGUCGCCGGCAACGGCAACAACGAGCAGCGGGUGCAGCCGGGCGACCUGCCGAAGCUGACCUACCUGAAGAUGGUUGUCAAAGAGACCCUGCGGCUUCACCCGCCGGUGACGCUGCUUCUGCCGCGGGAGACGCUGCGGCGGGUGGAGAUCGGCGGCUACGACGUGUCAGCGGGGACGCGGGUGCUGGUGAACGCGUGGGCCAUCGGGCGGGACCCCGCGAGCUGGGGCCAGGACGCGGCGGAGUUCCAGCCGGAGAGGUUCGAGUCCGGCGGGAGGCACGGCGAGGUGGACUUCCGCGGUGCUCACUUGGAGCUGAUGCCGUUCGGCGCCGGCCGGCGAAUCUGCCCCGGACUGGCCAUGGGGGUGGCGAACGUGGAGUUCACGUUGGCCAACAUGUUGUACGGCUUCAAGUGGGAGCUGCCGGAGGGGAUGGUGGCGGAGAAGCUGGGCAUGGAGGAGGCCGGCAGACUGACUUUCCACCGCAAGACGCCGCUGGUGCUCCUGCCCACCCCAUACGUACUGCCGAGAGCUGGCUAG